UACGUAGGGCGCGAGCGUUGUCCGGAAUUAUUGGGCGUAAAGAGCUCGUAGGCGGUGUGUCGCGUCGGCCGUGAAAACCUGCAGCUUAACUGUGGGCUUGCGGUCGAUACGGGCAUCACUGGAGUUCGGCAGGGGAGACUGGAAUUCCUGGUGUAGCGGUGAAAUGCGCAGAUAUCAGGAGGAACACCGAUGGCGAAGGCAGGUCUCUGGGCCACUACUGACGCUGAGAAGCGAAAGCAUGGGGAGCGAACAGG
rnacentral:rRNA from 1 species